rnacentral:rRNA from 1 species
GACGGCCCGCCGCAGGGACCCUAAACUCUGUUUUUAGUGGAACUUCUGAGUAUAAAAAACAAAUAAAUCAAAACUUUCAACAACGGAUCUCUUGGUUCUGGCAUCGAUGAAGAACGCAGCAAAAUGCGAUAAGUAAUGUGAAUUGCAGAAUUCAGUGAAUCAUCGAAUCUUUGAACGCACAUUGCGCCCGCCAGUAUUCUGGCGGGCAUGCCUGUUCGAGCGUCAUUUCAACCCUCAAGCCCAGCUUGGUGUUGGGAGCUGCAGUCCUGCCGCACUCCCCAAAUACAUUGGCGGUCACGUCGAGCUUCCAUAGCGUAGUAAUUUACACAUCGUUACUGGUAAUCGUCGCGGCCACGCCGUUGAACCCCAACUUCUGAAUGUUGACCUCGGAUCAGGUAGGAAUACCCGCUGAACUUAAGCAUAUCAAUAAGCGGAGA